UCCUCAAGUCUCCUCCUUCUCCCGAAAUCCCUAAUUCUCGCGCCGUCAAUUCGCAUCUCCCGCGCGUCGCCUGCUUCACCUCGGCAUCGCACGCCGCCGGCCACGGGCCAUGACAGGAAGUUGAGACCGGUCACACGGCCAGGGAGCGGGCAAUCCGCCGCCGCCCGCCGCCCGCCGCCGCCGAGUCCUCCGGCGAAGGACAGAACCACAGGCGCCAACAGGAGCGAAGAAGAAGCAGUGAAACACAAGUGCUCGACGAAAUGGGGGCGUCGGGUCGGAGUGCGAAGAGGAGGAGGAGGUCGGGACCACCUGAGAUCGGAGAAGCGGAGGAGCAUCCGGCGGCGGCGGAGGAGGACGAAGAAGGCGCCGACCACAUCAGCAACCUCCCGGACGCCAUCCUUGGCGACAUCGUCGCCCGCCUCCCCACCAAAGAAGCCGGCAGCACGCAGAUCCUCGCCUGCCGGUGGCGCCACAUCUGGCGCUCCUCUUCGCUCAACCUCGACUGCACUACUACCAGCCUAAGCGCCAAGAACGACGCCCUCGCCGCUGGCGUGGUCUCCAGCAUCCUCUCCACCCAUCCUGGCCCCUGCCGCCGUCUGUGCGUCCCAGCGCACCACCUCGUCGACCGGCCGGACGCCGUGGACGCCUGGCUCCGAUCCGCCACGCUCGACAACCUCAAGGAGCUUAGAGUUCAUCAGCGAACGCUACUGUAGAGAAGGAGAUGCGCCGCCGCCGGCACCCACCUUCCGCUUCUCUUCCAGCCUCCGUGUUGUCACCAUCGGCAGAUGCCUGCUCCCUGACGCCACCAUCCAAGAGCUACACUUUCCCCAUCUGUAGCAUCUCGGGCUUGAGCAUGUCACCGUCUCUGAGGGCUCACUUCACAGCAUGAUUGCCAGCUGCCCUGUCCUGGAAUGCUUGCUGCUUAACUGCAACCUUGGUUUCCAUUAUCUUCGGAUCAAUUCCCCUAGCCUUCGAAGCAUCGGUGCACGCAUCAUAUCCUAUCGUAAUAGCAUUGGACACCUUCAAUUACAAGAACUCAUCAUCGAGGACGCCCCUCUUCUUGAGAAAUUGCCCCAUCUUGAAUCGCGCAAUGACCUGCAUGUAUUUGAUAAUUUCCGCGCCUAAACUGAAGGCUGUAGGCUGCCUUUGUGAUCCAUGGUUUGUCCACUCCAGGUUCACGUUUGGCACCACAGUUAUUAAGGUAACCAUGCUCUUUUUUUCCCCUUUAGAAGGCUUCUAAGUUGGUGUGGAUGAAAUUUAUGUCUGCUCUUAUAGAUGGCCUAUGCUUGUUGAAGGGAGUUAAGUACGAAAGUUUGGCGGAGGUUGUGUGCAAUGUGAAGAUUUUAGGUAUCCAUGUGGAUAUGCUUAAUGUGGAUAAUGUUAUUGACUUGAUGCUGCUUUCCUUGCUUGGAUAGGUUAUACUUCAAGGCUUGUCAAUGGGAUACAAAAAGGUCUGGUGGCAUAAAUACCGGAAUCUUAACAAGAACAUUGACAUCUGUCUCAAGACAGUAGUUUUGGACAAUUAUCGGGGUAUCUGGUCACAAGUUCACUUUGCCCAAUUAUUUGUACUGAACGCGAGAGUGCUAGAGUCUAUGAAAUUUGUGGUAAACACUGGAGAUUGCUAUGAGGAGUUUGUUGCAAAACAAUGUCGGAUGCUUCAGCUGGACAAAAGGGCUUCAAGAUGUGCUCAUUUCUAUUUUACCACUGAUAGAUGUCGCUGUGGAGAUUCAGAUAUUAAGCAUGUCCAAGAUUUGUCAUUUACUGACCCCUUUGAAUGUAGAUGUAGAAACUGGUUUGGUCCUUGAGAACUUUCUUGCUGAUCAAAUCUUCUGUCUGAUACUUUUUUGAUAAAUGUGAUCCAGUUUUGCAAGAAAGCCCACAAAAACAGUAGUUCACACAACACCACACAGCAAAUGGGGUUACAGGUCUUUCGAAGAACCGCACAAAGCUCACUGAACCAUCUGGGGAUGCUAGCAAACCUGAUAAAAGAUGCAGACACUAAAGAAGCUAAUACAGAGCAGAUAAACUAGCCGUACUGCUAUCACAUAUCUGGUGGAUCUCUAUAACAUGAAUUAUGAUGUUGGUUCUUAGUGCAUCUCAAUUAGACAAGUUGCUAUCUCUGUUUUUGAGCAGGUAAAAUAAAUGUUAGUGUUUGAUGUAUGAAAACUGAGGAAACCAACGGACCUGAGCCUCCCUUUGAAGGUCUUAACAUUUUGUAAGAUAACAUCUGUCAGUUGUUACUCUGCAAAUGUGAACAUGGUCGAUUUAAGACACAUAAUUGAGAGUUUCAAGCUA